rnacentral:tRNA from 1 species
GGACCCUGGGUCAAUGGUAGAGCAUCUGCUUGCUAUGCAGAAGGUUCAGGUUCAAUCUCCAGUAUCUCCA